rnacentral:rRNA from 1 species
AGAGUUUGAUCCUGGCUCAGNACGAACGCUGGCGGCGUGCCUAAUACAUGCAAGUCGAGCGAACAUUUGAGAGCUUGCUCUCAGGAUGUUAGCGGCGGACGGGUGAGUAACACGUGGGCAACCUGCCUAUAAGACUGGGAUAACUUCGGGAAACCGGAGCUAAUACCGGAUAAUUCACAUCUACUCAUGUAGAUGUGCUGAAAGACGGUUUACGCUGUCACUUAUAGAUGGGCCCGCGGCGCAUUAGCUAGUUGGUGAGGUAACGGCUCACCAAGGCCACGAUGCGUAGCCGACCUGAGAGGGUGAUCGGCCACACUGGGACUGAGACACGGCCCAGACUCCUACGGGAGGCAGCAGUAGGGAAUCUUCCGCAAUGGACGAAAGUCUGACGGAGCAACGCCGCGUGAGUGAUGAAGGUUUUCGGAUCGUAAAACUCUGUUGUUAGGGAAGAACAAGUAUCGGAGUAACUGCCGGUACCUUGACGGUACCGAACC